CCAUACAUCAUUCAAUCUCAAACUAAACUUACCAAAGCUUACCUACUAUAACAUACCACAAUUGCAUAUUAACAUCACAUACCAUAAGCCAUGUCAAUUAUGAGUUUAAAAAUCAACUAGCCAAAUCACAUGGCUAAGUAUACACAUCAUAAAACAUGAUCCCACAACCACUAGCCUAUACAUGCCAUACUUUAAAAAUAUUCAUUCUCAAAAGUAUCAAAAUGAGGUUCGAUAGUGUGGUGAUGAUCCUCGAUGAUCCCCGAGCUUGCAGUAGCAUCGAUAUCUAUAAAACAAUGCAAACAUACACAAAGUAAGCUUUCAAAAGCUUAGUAAGCUCGUACUAAAAACAUCAAUAGUACAUAAAAUAUGAGACAUCAACACAUAAGUACUUAUAUAUUCUCAACUCAUUCGUCAAGUCCAUGCCAACAUCAUCCAUAUGUUUAUACCAAAUUCAAUAAGCUUUUUAUGCAGUAUACCAUCUACCACAUAGGUAUUAUACUUACCUGAACAUUCUCGUAUUCAUUCGUUUUCAUUCUCACCUCUUGUUCGGAUAUUUAAAAUUUUCUGAAGAUCACAAAUGCUUUAAUCAUCCACACACUUAGUACUUUUAAGGUUAGCCAAAGCUAUAAUAUUUUCGCCCACUUAAUGCCAUCUCAAUUAAUCGAAUCUAUUUCGGUAUCGCACACUUAGUGCCUCAUAUAGUCGAAGCUAGUUUAGAUCGCACACUUAGUGCUAAAUACCCUUGGUUUAUCAACUUAUUCAUCCAAAUCAAAUAUAUAUAAAAUCUAGGCAUAAUCAAAACAACAAAAUAUAUUUAUAACACCAUGUUUUAUGUACAAACUUACCUCGUACUCUGAAUUGUCAACUUAGACAGUUUACUCUACAAUCUUCGACUUCCCUCGGUCUAAAUCCGAAUUCUUCUUUUCUUGAUCUAAAUGUAUUCAAAAUUAACCCUUUUAUUCACCAAAUUAUUCAAAACAAUCCAUAAACACAUAUUUGGAGCAUUUUACAAACUAGCCCUCUCAUUUUCACAUUUCGACACUUUAGUCCCUAAUUCACAAAAUCACAAAAUACACAAAAUUUGCUUAUACAAAAGCUUAGCCGAAUUUUCAUAGCUCUCAUACAAGUCCAUACAUUUCAUUUAUUUUACAUUUUAGUCCCUCAAAAUAACAUUUUUACAAAUUAGCCCAAAAUACUAAAUUUCAUCAAAAAUCCAAAGACAAAACAUGUAAACCAAAUAUCAAACUUUAAUAUUUCAUCUUAUAACAUCACAAAGCUCAUGAAUCCAUCACUUCAUUUAUUCACUUGAUCUUUUUUCUCUCUAUUUUCUAUCAAUAAAAUUGGCUCAAUAAAAUCGGGUUUUGUUGUUAUAGAACACGGUAUUCUAUAUUUUAUAGUAGCAAUAUUCUAUAGUAGCAAAGGAAUAAGAAAUAAGAAUAAUAAAUUUUUUAAAAAUAAAAGUCUGAAUAGACCAAAAGAGAGGGGAGGAAAUAAUAAAGAAAAAUUUAUACAAAGCUAGAUAUGAAUCAUCCACACCCUCUUUUUUGGAUUUCAUUAAGUGAAUUUUGUUCGGUCUGGAAUCCAAAAUGAUAGCAUAGCACAAGCCACCUUACCUCCAGAGGCUCUGCUUUGCCGCAGAUCCAUUCUGGUUUCGUCCCAAACCUCUCCUUUACCCAUCCUCUUUGAUUCAGAUUAUGGGGUAUUCAAUGCACUUGAUGUAGACCAGAAAGACGAGGCUUUCCCGUGGGCUGGGGGAGUAGCCUCCUCUUCACCCUCCUUCAGUCGAUUCAGAUACCGAAUCGUAUCUCUUGGAGAGAGGUGCGGAAGCUCCCCCUUUGACUCGGGGGGAUUCCACCACUUCGACUGAUGCGGACGCGAUUCCCUCGUCGUGAAAGAAGUAAUUUCUGGAGCAUACGAUGAUUCUUUCACCACCUGAGGCGUUAAUUUACCUACUAAAAUAUCGUCUAUCUCCACCCAAGAUCCCAGCAUCACAAUUCCAUUUUAUCUAAAUUGUGGAGUAAAUGGGCUUCUAGGUUCGGUAUUUCGUUAGUGAUUCUUUCAGGACCUUGGCUUGUCAUUUCAAAAUCAUCAACAAAAUCAAAAAUUGAGGCAUAGGUUCGAUAAUAUACGAAGUAACGAUUACAAAAACGUAGAAAUUAUCAAAAACCGAAGCAAAAACAUACCUAAAUCAAAGCUUGCAAGUGCCGAACCCUAGCCAAAGCUUUUCCCUUUUCUUUUUCUCUUAUUUUCGGUAAAGAACAUUAUAAUGGCUUAUUUCCAUACCUUAUUUUAAUUAUAAUUCAUUUUAUAAUUAGUUUACCAUUUUGCCCUUAGUAUAAAACAUUAACAAACCAUUUUACAAAGGUCAUUGAUGUCCAUUAACCUUUUAAAUGGUAUAAUAACCACAUAAGGACCUUUCAUAAACAAAGCCAAGUCAAAUAGGCACUUUUAACAUCUAGCACAUAGCUUUUACAUUUUACCCGAUUAGAUCCUUUUAUCAGAUUAAACACAUAUACGAUUAAAUUUUAAUAUGAAACUUUCACACAUGCUAAUUCACAUAUCACAAGCACAGAAAAUAAUAUUUAAAAUAUUUUUGUAACUCGGAUUUGUGGUCCUGAAACCACUAUUCCGACUAGGGUCAAAACCAGACUGUUACAGUUCAACUUGUAACAAGGAUCUAAAAUUGCAGCACAUGACAAUAUCAACGAAUACUCAGUCAAAUAUUUAUUAAAUUUCUCUUGGAUUUGCUUAACCAUUGAUUAAAAAACAAUGUAAGCUUUAUAGCUUAGUAAACUCGUAUGAAAUAAUUAAGCAAAUUUCACCAUUCAUUUACAUUUUCAAAUAAGUAACUCAAAUUGCAUCAAAACAUUAAACACCAAGUUAACAUGGAAUUUAACCACAUAAUUGAUCAUAAGCUUACAAUUUCCUUUGAUUCAUUACUCAAAUAGUUUUUCGUACAUACCAGUACCGAUAUGUAUCUAUCUCUCAACAAUUCACAUCUUCAAUAUACCCGUUGAACCAUUUGGAAUAGAAGUCGGAUACUCAGAAGUCUCACACACUAAGUGCUCACAUCAUGGCCCAAAGCCAACUCAAUAUAUCUCGCCCUCAAAGUGCUAAUAUCAUGGCCCAUAACCAAAUCAGUGAAUCUCGCACCCUAGGUUCCGAUAUCAUGGCCCGAAUCAAAAUCAAAGUAACUCACACCCGAAGUACCGAUAUCAUGGCCCGAAGUCAAAUCAAAGUAACUCGCACCUGAAGUGCCGAUAUCAUGGCCCGAAGCCAAAUCAAAGUAACUCGCACCCGAAGUGCGGAUAUCAUGGCCUGAAGGCAAAUCAAUAUAUCACCUAAUGACAUGUCACUUGUAUCCUAAUCUAUUCCUAAGGUUCAACCGAGAGUUUCAAUCCCAAAACAUCAUCGAAUGUAUCCAUAGAGUCGAAUUCACAAUUCAAACAAUAUCAAAGAAUUUAAAACAUAAUUAUAUCAAUACUUAUUACAUACGAACUUACCUCAGACGUAAAAAUGAUGACACAGAUAAAUUAAUCCGUGACUUUGUUCAUUCCCCAAUCUAAGUUCGUAUUUCGCCUUUCUUAAUAAUUGAACUAGGAAGCUUGGCUGAUUGAAACCUUAAAAGAAUGACUUCUCUUUUCUUUAAAAUCAGUUGGAGAUAGAGAAUAAAGAUGAAUAUUGUUUUUGUUUUAUUUAUUUUAAGCUAAUAAACCUUUUUAGCUUAUAGAACUCCAAUUUUUCACUUUAUGCGAUUUAGUCCUUUUUACCAAAUUAACAAAUCAAACGAUAAAAUUUCUUAAUGAAAUUUUCACACAAUUAUUCUAUCAUAAUAUAAACAUUAAAAUAAUAAUAAAAUAAAUAUUUUGACGUUAGAUUUGUGGUCUCAAAACCACUAUUCCAAGUUGACUAAAAACAGGCUAUUACAACUCUUCCCCCUUAGGGAUUUUCGUCCCUGAAAAUCUUACCAGUGAAUAGGUUAGGGUACUGUUUUCUCAUAGCUUUCUUGGGCUCCCACGUAACCUCUUCGACACCGUAACGUUGCCACAAAACCUUCACCAAAGUUAUUCGCUUAUUUCUCAAUUCUUUAAUCUCUUGAGCUAGAAUUCUGAUCGGUUCUUCAUUGUAUGUCAUAUUCGGUUGAAUUUCAAUCUCUGUCGGAGAAAUUACGUGUGAAGGAACUGAUCUAUAUUGACAUAGGAACUAUAUGUGAAACACAUUAUGGAUCUUCUUUAACUCGGUCGGUAAAGCUAGUUGAUAUAUCACUGGCCCUAUUCUUUCAAUAAUCCUGUACGGCCCGAUGAAACGUGGACUCAACUUACCUUUUCGACCAAAACGAAAAAUUUUCCUCCACAGAGAUACUUUCAGAAACACUUUAUCACCAAUCUAAAAUUCAAUGUCUUUCCGUUUCAAAGCCGCAUACGACUACUGUCGAUCUGAUGCUGCUUUCAAAUUGUUCUAAAUUAGAUUCACUUUUUCUUCAGUCUCUCGGAUCAAGUCAACCCUGUGAAUCUUUUUCUCACUAAACUCGGUCCAAUACAACGGAUUUCGACACUUGCGACUAUACAAAACUUCAUACGAUGCCAUAUUUAUACUCGAUUAAAAGCUAUUGUUAUACGCAAAUUCAACCAAUGACAAAUGUUUCUCCCAGUUACCUUUGAACUCUAAAACACAACAUCUGAGCAUAUCUUUGAGAACCUGAAUUACUCUCUCAGACUAACCGUCAAUUUGCAGAUGAAAUGUUGUACUAAAAUUCAAUCUCAUACCUAGAGCUUCUUGCAAUUUCUUCCAAAAUCGUGAUAUAAACCUCGGAUCUCUAUCCAAAAUAAUCAAAAUUGAGACCCCAUGUAAUCUAACAAUCUCAUAAAUGUACAACUCAGCCAAUUUAUCAAGUGUACUGGAAUGAAAUGUGCAGAUUUUGUUAGUCGAUCAACGACAACCCAGAUAACAACUUUCUGUUUUGGAGAUAGGGGAAAACCUGAUACGAAAUCCAUCGUAACUCUAUCUCAUUUCCACUCUGGUAUCAUCACAGGCUGUAACAAUCUUGAAGACACUUGAUGCUCAGCUUUAACUUGUUGACACACCAAGCAUGUCGAUACGAAUUCUGAAAUGUCUCAUUUCAUACUUGACCACCAAUACAAUAGUUUUAAAUCAUUAUACAUUUUGGUACUCCCCGGGUGAAUAGAUAAACAACCACUAUGUUCUUUGUGCAAAAUUUUCUGAAUGAGUUCGAAAUUCUUUGGUACGCAAAUUCUAUUUCGGAACAUUAAAUAAUCAUCGGCUCCAAUCUGAUAAUCUGAAUCACUAUUCGACUCACAUUGCAUUCUUUUAGCUUGUAACUCGGUAUCGCACUUUUGAGCUUCACAAAUUUGUUGAAGAAAAACUGGUUUAGCUUUUAACUCUGCUAAUAUUGAACCAUCAUCAAACAAGCUUAGUUGAGUAUUCAUUACUCUCAAAGCAAACAGAGAUUUUCUACUUAAAGCAUCUGCAACUACAUUCACUUUCCCUAGAUGAUAAUCAAUUACUAACUCGUAAUAUUUCAAUAGCUCAAGCCAUCUUCGUUGUCGCAAGUUUAGAUCUUUCUGAGUCAUUAAAUACUUUAAACUUUUGUGAUUCGUAAAGAUGUGGCAUUUUUAACUGUACAAAUGAUGUCGCCAAAUUUUUAAUGCAAAUACAAUAGCAGCCAAUUCUAAAUCGUGCGUCAGAUAGUUCUCUUCAUGCAGCUUCAAUUGUCUCGAGGCAUAAGUUAUCACUUUUCCCUCUUGCAUCAACACGCAACCCAAACUGUUCAAUGACGCGUCACUGUAAAUCACAAAUUCUUUACCUGACACAGGUUGAACCAAUACUGGUGCCUCAGUUAACAAUGCUUUCAACUGAUCGAAACUCUAUUGACAUUUCUCAGACCACUCAAACUUCAUGUCUUUCUGUAGCAAUCUGGUCAUCGGUGUAGUAAUCAUCGAAAAUCCUUUAACAAAACAUCGAUAAUAACCAGCUAACCCUAGAAAACUUCUGACUUCGAAUACAUUCCUCAGUGGUUUCCAAUCAACAACUGCAGAAAUCUUGCUCGGAUCAACUGUUAUACUUUCUGCUGAAACAAUGUGUCCCAAAAAUCUGACUUCUUUGAGCCAAAACUCUCAUUUAGUGAAUUUAGCAUACAGUUGCUUAUAUCUCAAGGUUAGUAGCACAAUUUUCAAAUGCUCAUCAUGUUCAGACUCGUCUCGUGAAUAGAUCAGAAUGUCGUCAAUGAACACAGUAACGAAUUUGUCUAAAUAAGAUCUAAAAAUCGAUUCAUCAAAUCCAUAAAAACUGCAAGAACAUUAGUCAAUCUAAAAGGCAUAACAAGAAAUUCAUAAUGUUCGUACCACAUUUUGAACGCAAUUUUUGGUACAUCUGAAUCUUUCACUCGUAAUUGAUAAUAGCCAGAUCUCAAAUCAAUCUUCAAAAACACUAUUAGCCCUUUCAACUGAUCAAACAAGUCAUCUAUUCUCGGCAAUUGAUACUUGUUCUUUAUCAUAACCUUAUUGAGUUGUCGAUAGUCAAUACGCAUUCUUAUUGACCCGUCCUUCUUCUUUACGGACAAUACUGGUGCACCCUAGAGUGAAAAACUAGGUCGUGCAAAUCCUCUAUCUGUUAAUUCUUCAACUGAGAUUUCAACUCUUUCAAUUUGAUCGGAGCCAUUCUGUACUGAGCUAUUGAUAUCGAAUAAGUUUCAGGUAUUAAUUCAAUAGCAAAUUCAACCUCUCCUAUCAGUGGUUACCCUGGUAUUUCUUUUGGAAACAAAUCUGGAAACUCACAGACUAUCGGCACUAAUACAACCUUCGAUUCAGACACCUUUGUAUCUAAAACAUAAGUAAAAUAAGCUUCGCACCCUUUUCUCACACAUUUCUGAGUUGACAUAGAUGAAAUUACAACAGACAAUUCACUCGAUUCAUCUAAUUCAAUUCGAAUGAUUUCACUAUUCUGACAUUUCAAUUCAAUAAUCUUUCGUUACAAUUAAUAAUAGCAUCAUGCAGAGUCAACCAAUCCAUUCCCAAAAUUACGUCAAAUUCAUCAAAUGGCAAUAGCAUUAAAUCAGCUGGAAAACAAUAACCCCGAGUCAUUAAAGGACAAUUCUUGCAAACUUUAUCAACUACAACAUACUUGCCUAAGGGGUUCGAUACUUUAAUCAUAAACUCAGUAAAUUCAACAGGCAAUUUCUUACUAGACACUAAAUUCUCACAAACAUAUGAAUGUGUCGAUCUAGGAUCAAUUAAAGCAAUCAUAUUAGUGUCGUAAAGAGAAAAGGUACUGAUUAUAACAUCAGGUGACGACGCCUCUUUGCGAGCGCGAAUAGCAUAAGCCCUAGCAAGUGCUCUAGCCUCAGAUCUCAUGACAGAGUCUUUUUUUGUACCUCUACUAUUGGUGACAUUUCUCGCAUUUCUUGGUGGCCUCCCUCUAGUGGCUAUGUUACUCGGUCUUACAUUUUGGAAUUUGUCUUUCUCAGCUAACCUAAGACAAUCCCAAAUAAAAUGAUCUGAUGAACCACAUUUGAAACAAGCUUUAUUAAUUUUAUUCCAGCAUUCUCCAAAAUGUCAUCUCCCAUACUGUUGACAUUCGGGUUUAUUGUUUCUCACAUUGCCAACACUUGAUACUGAUGUAGCUUGAGCUUUAGGACUUGAGUAUUGUUUUCCGCAAUCUCUGUUCGAAUACCCGAUUGAAGCAUUUAAACGAUUGAACAAAUCUCUGGAUUUCUUUGACAAAGACAGAUACGGCUUAUUCAUUGGUAUUUUUCUCGAGUCUCUUGCCUCUGAAUCUGCUUUUCUCUUUUCUUUACUAAGUUCCUCAACUUUGCAAGCUCUAUCAACUAAAAUAACAAAUUCUUUCAAUUCUAGAAUUUUGACUAGAAGUUUAAUGUCCUCGUUCAACCUAUCAACGAACCGAUUGCACAUGAUUUCUUCAGUAGAAACAUACUCUCGAGCAUACUUGCUCAAUUGUACAAAUCUCUUUCAUAUUUGGUCAUAAUCAUUUAGCCCUGUUUCAAUUCUAGAAACUCUUUGUGCUUUUGAUCGAGGAAUCUCUGACUUAUGUAUUUCUUCCUGAACUCAACUUGAAAGAAAUCCCAAGUCACUCUUUCUCUCAGUAACAAGAUACUAAAGUAUUCCACCAUUGAUACGCAGUAUCCCUCAAUAACGAUAUGGCAUAUUUCAAACACUCGGCUGGAGUACAUGACAAUUCAUCAAAUUCCCGAAUAGUGUUUUCAAGCCAAAAUUCAGCUCGUUGAGUAUCAUCAUCUACGGCAGCUCUAAACUCUUCAACCCCGUGUUUUUGGAUCUUAUCAAUUGGAGGCUUAUUCAGUUGUUGAAGUUCCACAACUUGAGGAGCUACGAGAAUAGGUUGGGGAUUUGGUGGGGGUGGAGGUUGUUGAGUAGCCGAAUUUGUCCGGACAUAUUGCGUGAACCAUUCAUUCAUCAUUUGGAAAAAGGCUUCUUUAGCCUCUCCACUGUGACUACUCGAUAUAUUUCCAGAUUUCGAAGGCGUUGUCCCUUAAGCAAGAGAUGGUGCAUUACUUUCAACAUCGUUAGCUACAGCUCGAUCGGGAUCCAUUUACUAUACGAAAACACAUUUUAAAUUGUCAGGAGUCAACAUACUAUCAUAGUUUAUAUAUGACAUGUAUAGCUAGACUCUCACACACGCUACGUUAGUCUAUAAAUCGACUAAACCGUAACUCUGAUACCAAUAAAUGUAACACCCCUCACCCGUAUUCAAUGCCAUAAUAGGGUUACGAAACAUUACCAAACUUAUCACACAUUUAAACAUACAUAUUUAAUACAAUUAAUCAAUUCAUAAACAAUUCAAUCACAAUUAAACAUUUCAUCCUUAAUACGAGCCUAUAAAGCCCUAAUAUGCAUUGGGAGUGGUUUGGGACUAAAUUGAUAACUUUAGAAACUUUUUGAAGACUUAAGAAUUUUUCUCAAAAAUAGGGGACCACGCCUGUGUUGCCCGGCCGUGUGUCUCACACGGUCAAUAGACACACUCGUGCCAUAAGGCAUGUGGACAUUCAAAAUAGGAGUACAUGGCUAGGUCCUAGCCCGUGUCCAACCCCGUGUAACUCUCUGACUUGGGUCACACGGCCAACACACACGCCCGUGUGGCUAGCCUGUGUGACUUAAAAAUGGCCAUACACACCCGUGUGCCAGGUCUUGUGCUAGGCCUUGCCAAACCUAUAGGGUUUACUGACUUAUGCCAUACGGCUAAGUCACACACUCGUGUGUGAGGCCGUGUGGAGCAUACUAAAUUGAUUUUAAGUUCAACACCAGGGGACACACGACCGUGUACAUGACCAUGUAUCACACACGGCCAAGACACACGCCCGUGUCUCUGCCUGUGUGGACAAAAGUAGGCUAUUUACCAAGCAUGUAACUACUCUAAAAUCACAAGCACUUAACAUCCUAAUCUUUAAAAUUCCCAAGCAUUAUAUAUUCAUCCAUAAACUCACAACACAAACAUAUAUGCACAUAUUUCUACAUAACCAAAUCAACCAAAUUAAGCCAACUCUCAUGUCUAUAUUUACAAGUCAAAACAUAUACAUUUACAAACAUUUCACAUGGCUACAAUCAUUAACAACCCAUAAUAAAGAUGGCUCAAAAUAACUAUACAUGUCAUAUACUCAAAACAUAAACUUAAAAGUACCAAAUUGAUAGCUUGAUAGUGUGAUGAAGUCUCUGAUGAUCCCCAAAUCCGAGCUAGCUCAGAAAUCACUAUAAAACACGGAAAAAUAAACAAUGUAAGCUUUAUAGCUUAGUGAGCUCGUAUGAAAUAAUUAAGCAAAUUUCACCAUCCAUUUACAUUUUCAAAUAAGUAACUCAAAUUGCAUCAAAACAUUAAACACCAAGUUAACAUGGAAUUUAACCACAUAAUUGAUCAUAAGCUUACAACUUCCUUCGAUUCAUUGCUCAAAUAGUUUCUCAUACAUACCAAUACCGAUACGUAUCUAUUUCUCACCAAUUCACAUCUUCAAUAUACUCGUUAAACCAUUCGAAAUAAAAGUUGGAUACUCAGGAGUCUUGCGCACUAAGUGCUCACAUCAUGACCCGAAGCCAACUCAAUAUAUCUCGCACCCAAAGUGCUAAUAUCAUUGCCCGUAGCCAAAUCAGUGAAGCUUGCACCCGAGGUGCCGAUAUCAUGGCCUGAAGCCAAAUCAAAGUAACUCGCACCCGAAGUGAUGAUAUCAUGGCCCGAAGCCAAAUCAAAGUAACUCGCACCCAAAGUGCCGAUAUCAUGGCCCAAAGCCAAAUCAAAGUAACUCGCAGCUGAAGUGUCAAUAUCAUGGCCCAAAGCCAAAUCAAUAUAUCUCCUAAUGACAAGUCAUUAGUAUCCUAAUCUAUUCCUAAAGUUCAACCGGGAGUUUCAAUGUCGAAACAUCGUCGAAUGUAUCCGUAGAGUCAAAUUUAAAAUUCAUACAAUAUCAAAGCAUUUAAAACAUAAUUAUAUCAAUGCUUAUUACAUACGAACUUACCUCGAACGUAAAAACGAUGACACGGGUCAACUAAUCUGAGACUUUGUUCUUUCCCCAAUCUAAGUUCAUAUUUUGCUUUUCUUGAUAAUUGAGCUAGAAAGCUUGGCCGAUUGAAACCCUGAAAGAAUGACUUCUUUUCUCUUUAAAAUCGGUUGGAGAUAGAGAAAUAAAGAUGAAUAUUGUUUUUGUUUUAUUUAUUUUAAGCUUAUUAACUAAAUACCAAAAUUAACAUUGGUUAUAAAACAUAAAAAUAACUUAAUACUUGUCCAUACUUAUCCACUUAUAAUUCAAAUGGUCUAAUUACAACAUAAGGACAUCCACUAUUUAAUUUCAUGGCUAAUAAACCCUUUUAGCUUGUAGAACAAUUUUUUACUUUACGCGAUUUAGUCCUUUUUACCAAAUUAACAAAUUAAACGAUAAAAUUUCUUAACGAAAUUUUCACACAAUUAUUCUAUCAUACUGUAAACAUUAAAAUAAUAAUAAAAUAAAUAUUUUGACCUCAGAUUGUGGUCAAAACACUAUUCUGAUUUGACUAAAAAUGGGCUGUUACAAUUUUUAUCGUCAAGUAUCCACCGUUUGAUUAACAAAACUUCCAUAUGAUUUUGAUGUUUUGAGCCAUCAAUGGUGAAAACAUAUGGAGAAAUUGGACCCUAUCAGGGACUAAUUCAUCUGCAUAAAGUUCAACCAUUGUCCAGACCAAAGAAAAGAGAAAAAAAAACAUGUAGAGAUCAAUGUCAGAGAGGGAACUCAAAGAAAAAAAAAAGGAGAGGGAGAGAGAGAAAGAGAAAGAGGAAGAUUCAGUUUAUUUGAAAUUUAGACGCUCCAAUUCUUUAAUUCUACUUAACUAAAUUCCACAAAAUUCAAAACUCAGCUUUAAAAACCUAGUCUUUCCAAUACCUAGAUCUCAAUUUCCUUUAGUUUGAUUAAAUUUGCCACGUUUAAUUCAUUUCCCCUAUUUCUCAACUGCAACUAUUUGCAAUAAUUAGAGGUCCAAUAUUUCAAGAUAAACCUUAGUUAAUGUUAUUUGCUUUCUUUCCCCACCAAACAAAACAUCUUCUUCCUUUAAUCUCUUAAUUUCGUUUUGAAUUUCAACAAAAUUCCAAGGUAAGUUGUUGAAAGAGAAAAUAUUUUAAAAAUCUAAAAAUCUUAAAAUUGAAAGACAAAAAGUGAAACUUCCUGAUUAUUGCAAAUAUUUAACGUGUCUGUUUAAUGUUCUUUCCAAAUUGUGGAAAAUGUUAAACAAAACGACCACUUUCUCAAGACACCACAGUUUUCUUCUACAGUAACUGUCUUUUAGGUUGGGUUUUUUUAUGAAUUCAACCAGAGCAUCUUAUCUUAUAGUUCAAAAAAACUGAACUUUUCAUUCAUCUUUCUUUGUUGUUAUUUCGCAGCUAGCUAUCUUUGAUUCCUCUUUUGUUCCUAAAUUAUCUCUAAAUUUUCUAGAAUUUAUAUAUCCUCCACCUUGUAUUUUACUUUAGUAGAUUUUUUGUAAGUGCAGCAAACCCUAACUGUCAUGAUGUGUCGUCCAUAAGCAAUCCCACACAAAAACAGAGUGAAUAAAGCAUGGGAACAUAAAAAAAAAAGAGUUUUAAUUUAAGGAAAUAAAGUUACAACCAAAAAGAGUUCUUAUAAACCACUGUUGUAUUGUUGGUCUAUUAGAUAAUGCUUAUGAACUUUUGGAAGAGAUGAAACAGACAUACUAAAACAGAAUCAAAACUUUCCUUCAUUUUCUCGGUGACCAAACAAAAAGAAAGUGAAAAUGAUAUUCCUUACCUGAGUCAGUUGAGGAAAUCCGGUGGGCGCCAGCAACAGAGGAAGUCGGUGGGAGGUGGAGAUGAAUAUGGUGACUGGUGACUGGUGAGCAGCGCCGGGAGACAGCACUAUUGGAUCGAUAGAGGUGGUGGUAAGUUGGGGACUUUGAUUCUGGAAUUGGGAAUAAGGGGGGGAGGAAGGCACGAAAGUGAAAGUGAAACUAAAAAGAUAAAAUUAAAAAUAAAAAAUGAUUAAAAAUAAAAUAAAAUAUUUAGUACAUAACUCAGGCCGGGCCCAGGCCAAAAAAAUCUUACCCGAGGCUCGGCCCUUGUUUAAACAGGCCUCAUUUUUUGUCUAAACUAUUUU
rnacentral:lncRNA from 1 species